AGGGUUCGAUUCUGGCUCAGGAUUAACGCUGGCGGCGUGCCUAACACAUGCAAGUCGAACGAAAUACUUUUAGUAUUUAGUGGCGAACGGGUGAGUAAUGUACAGGUAAUGUACCUUCGUACUGCGAAUAACAAGCUGAAAAGUUUGCUAAUACGGAAUAGUUUCCUUCGAGGGCAUCCUUAAAGGAAUAAAGAUUUAUCGUGCGGAGAUCAGCCUGUAUCCUAUUAGUUAGUUGGUGGGGUAAUGGCCUACCAAGACGACGAUGGGUAACUGGUCUGAGAGGAUGAGCAGUCACAUUGGAACUGAGAAACGGUCCAAACUCCUACGGGAGGCAGCAGUGAGGAAUUUUGCGCAAUGGGGGAAACCCUGACGCAGCCAACGCCGCGUGAGUGAUGACGGCCUUCGGGUUGUAAAGCUCUGUCGUGUGUGACGAGUAGGGACGGUAACACACAAGGAGGCCUCGGCUAACUACGUGCCAGCAGCGGC
rnacentral:rRNA from 1 species